rnacentral:rRNA from 1 species
UACGAAGGGGGCUAGCGUUGCUCGGAAUUACUGGGCGUAAAGGGCGCGUAGGCGGCACUGUUAGUCAGGCGUGAAAGUCCUGGGCUCAACCUGGGAACUGCGCUUGAUACGGCAGAGCUAGAGGAUGGAAGAGGCUCGCGGAAUUCCCAGUGUAGAGGUGAAAUUCGUAGAUAUUGGGAAGAACACCGGUGGCGAAGGCGGCGAGCUGGUCCAUUACUGGACGCUGAGGCGCGACAGCGUGGGGAGCGAACAGG